GGGGUGAACCGGCCCAGGUCGGAAACGG
rnacentral:piRNA from 5 species